GUAGGAGGCAAGCGUUAUCCGGAUUCACUGGGCGUAAAGCGCGCGCAGGCGGCUCCGUAAGUCGGACGUGAAAGCCCCCGGCUCAACUGGGGGAGGUCGUUCGAUACUGCAGGGCUUGAGGUCGGGAGAGGGAAGCGGAAUUCCCGGUGUAGUGGUGAAAUGCGUAGAUAUCGGGAGGAACACCAGUGGCGAAGGCGGCUUCCUGGCCCGCACCUGACGCUAAGGCGCGAAAGCGUGGGUAGCGAACGGGAUUAGAUACCCCGGGUAGUCCACGCCCUAAACGAUGGCAACUAGGUGUUGGGGGCUAUUAACCCCCCUCAGUGCCGAAGUUAACGCGAUAAGUUGCCCGCCUGAGGACUACGAGCGCAAGCUUA
rnacentral:rRNA from 1 species